AACGAACGCUGGCGGCGUGGUUCAGGCAUGCAAGUCGAACGAUCUCGCAAGAGAUAGUGGCAGAAGGGUUAGUAACACGUGCGUAACCUGCCCUUAAGACGGGGAUAACCUCUCGAAAGAGAGGCUAAUACCCGAUGAUAUUACUGGGUGGCAUCAUCUGGUAAUCAAAGCUAGCUCGCAAGAGCUUGCACUAAAGGAGGGGCGCGCGGCCUAUCAGCUAGUUGGUGAGGUAAUGGCUCACCAAGGCUUUUGACGGGUAGCUGGUCUGAGAGGACGAUCAGCAACAUUGGGACUGAGACACUGCCCAGACUCCUACGGGAGCUGCAGUCGAGGAUCUUUAGCAAUGCCCGAAAGGGUNACUAUGCGACGCCGCGUGCAGGAUGAAGCCU
rnacentral:rRNA from 1 species